rnacentral:rRNA from 1 species
AGACUUUGAUUAUGGCUCAGGAUGAACGCUGGCGGCGUGCCUAACACAUGUAAGUCGAGCGAAACGAAUAGAUGGAAGUCUUCGGACGGAAGUUUAUGAGUUUAGCGGCGGACUGGUGAGUAACGCGUGGGAAACCUACCCUAUACAGGGGGAUAGCCUCGGGAAACCGGGAUUAAUACCCCAUAAAACUCCAAUAUCGCAUGAUAUAAGAGUCAAAACUCCGGUGGUAUAGGAUGGUCCCGCGUCUGAUUAGCUAGUUGGUAGUGUAACGGACUACCAAGGCGACGAUCAGUAGCCGGCCUGAGAGGGUGAACGGCCACACUGGAACUGAGACACUGUCCAGACUCCUACGGGAGGCAGCAGUGGGGAAUAUUGCACAAUGGGCGAAAGCCUGAUGCAGCGACGCCGCGUGAGCGAAGAAGGCCUUCGGGUCGUAAAGCUCUGUCCUAAGGGAAGAAAAGGACGGUACCUUAGGAGGAAGCCCCGGCUAACUACGUGCCAGCAGCCGCGGUAAUACGUAGGGGGCGAGCGUUAUCCGGAAUUACUGGGCGUAAAGGGUGCGUAGGCGGCCUUUUUAGUCAGAUGUGAAAGGCUACGGCUUACCCGUAGUUAGCAUUUGAAACUA